UACAGAGGUCUCGAGCGUUAGGCGGAAUCACUGGGCUUAAAGCGUGUGUAGGCGGAUCGGUAAGUACCUUGUGAAAUCCCACAGCUUAACUGUGGAACUGCUCGGUAUACUGCCAGUCUUGAGCCAGCUAGGGGCUACCGGAACAAAUGGUGGAGCGGUGAAAUGCGUAGAUAUCAUUUGGAACGCCAAUGGUGAAAACAGGUAGCUGGGGCUGUGCUGACGCUGAGACACGAAAGCGUGGGUAGCAAACAGG
rnacentral:rRNA from 1 species